CAAGAAUCACUUUUGGGCUUACUUUGGAUGGGCUUGGAAAGGCUAAAAAUGAGUAGGUUUUCAACUCCAAAGAUACAAAACCCAAGUUUAUGUUAAUGCUUGCUUAUCUUGUGAUCCUAUCAAGCUCUCAUCAUAGAAAUAGAAUAGAUUCAACCAUAUCAUCAGAUAAUUGAACAAGUUUGACUAACAAAAUUGUAAAAUAAAUAUUAACUAAACUGCAGUACAUAUAAUCAUUGACAAUUGAUCACCAACAAUUUUAUUUUAUCUGCAACUUUAAUUAGAAGCCAGUAGACAAUUACAAUGAAAAAUUAAAACUAAAACAAAAGAGAGAGUACUACUAAUUUUGAGAUACUGUUAUUAUUACAGUGUCUAACCGUAUGCAUGAGUUACUUAUUUUGUGUGGGAUUUGAUUUGCUUGGGGGUAUUGCUCGGAAACAUGACUCCACCACCUGCUUUGAAGGAUCUUUUCUAUGACCCCGCAAAUCUUUCAGAGCUUGAUGAGAAGAUGAUUUCACUCUGAAUGUCAAAGAGUAAUUAACCUCAGUUGAGGACACCACUAGUAACAGUGUGAAAGCCAGAGCUGCCAGUAAGGACCAGACCUUCAUUUUAGUGGAGGAUCCUGUGAAGUGUUUCUGUGGCAUUAAUUGAGAGCCUUCAAGAAAAUGAGGGUCAAGUGAAAUCAAUCAGUGUUCAUUUAUUCUUCUUUUUGGGUACAAUCUGAGUGAAAGUGAAAUGGUAAAUAUCUGAAAAUUGGGAUUUGAUGCCAUUGGGAUCACGUGCUGUCACUGUUGCAUGUUGUACUGUCUUAGCCUUGGGAUUUGGUGAAAAACAGAAAAAAUGGGACAGAAAAUUCAGAGAGGUCAUGUGAUCAGCCACGUGAUGUUAAUGUGUAUUUCACAGAACUAUUUAGUGUAUACUGUAAUUGAUUCCACUGUAUUAUCACCAUAUAUUUAGAGUGAGUUUGGAUUGCGGAUACCAAUCUCUCUGUUUGUGCUUAACCUCUAUUUUCAGGAAACAUCAUCUUCUGUGUUUCUACCUUAAAGUUGUGUCAUACUUUGUCCUGUAAUAAAAUCGCUAGAGAUACAAACACGCACUUAGUGGAUAUUUGGUUCCAUUGUGACACCAAUAAAAUCAAUUUUUUAUAGUAAAAAUCUUGAAGCUACAAAGAUAAAUGAAAAAUAAUUUAUUCUCUUUCACCACCUUAUGGAACCAAGUACAUUAUUAAGCUUUAACUUGUUUAAAAGGUUGCUAAGAAAGUUGGUCUAAUUGGUAUGAAAAUGACUCUGACAACAACACGAAUUUAAAUUCUAUUGUCAAUACGAGAACUUGUUAAUAAAUAAUAGUAAUAUAUAAGUGUAUAUUUUUAUAAGUACUUUUUGAGUCUUAUAACUUACUUUAAUCUUAAUAAAUCUUGAGAUCUAAUUCACCUUAAUUUUUAUUAAUCCAUACUUACUACUUACUUGGAAGGUGAUAUGGUGAUAGGAUUGAACCAAACACUAUUAUUAGAGUUAGGCAACAGCUAAAGUGAAUCUUGGAUGUUCAUACCUGGUUCCUUCCUUGUUAGGGCAAGCUUGACACAGGCUCAGUGAAGAAACAUGAUUUCCAUCACUCCAAAAAGGUGCAAGAGAAGUAGUUGGGUGCUGCAAUUAUUGAGAGGACAUUUAAGCAUAUAGUAAAG
rnacentral:lncRNA from 1 species